GGGGAAUAUUGGACAAUGGGCGAAAGCCUGAUCCAGCAAUGCCGCGUGAGUGAUGAAGGCCUUCGGGUCGUAAGGCCCUUUUCCGAGGGACGAUGAUGACGGUACCUCGGGAAGAAGCACCGGCUAACUACGUGCCAGCAGCCGCGGUAAUACGUAGGGUGCAAGCGUUGCCCGGAUUUAUUGGGCGUUAAGCGCGCGCAGGCGGAUCAGUGCGUCCCGCGUGAAAUCGCCCGGCUCAACCGGGCGGGGUCGCGGGAUACGGCGGAUCUGGAGCAAGGGAGGGGGCAGUGGAAUUCCCGGUGUAGUGGUGGAAUGCGUAGAUAUCGGGAGGAACACCAGUGGCGAAGGCGACUGCCUGGACCUUGGCUGACGCUGAGGCGCGAAAGCGUGGGGAGCGAUC
rnacentral:rRNA from 1 species